rnacentral:rRNA from 1 species
GCAGUCGAACGAUGAAGCCUUUCGGGGUGGAUUAGUGGCGAACGGGUGAGUAACACGUGGGCAAUCUGCCCUUCACUCUGGGACAAGCCCUGGAAACGGGGUCUAAUACCGGAUGAUACCUUCCUCUGCAUGGGGGUGGGUUGAAAGCUCCGGCGGUGGAGGAUGAGCCCGCGGCCUAUCAGCUUGUUGGUGGGGUGAUGGCCUACCAAGGCGACGACGGGUAGCCGGCCUGAGAGGGCGACCGGCCACACUGGGACUGAGACACGGCCCAGACUCCUACGGGAGGCAGCAGUGGGGAAUAUUGCACAAUGGGCGAAAGCCUGAUGCAGCGACGCCGCGUGAGGGAUGACGGCCUUCGGGUUGUAAACCUCUUUCAGCAGGGAAGAAGCGUGAGUGACGGUACCUGCAGAAGAAGCGCCGGCUAACUACGUGCCAGCAGCCGCGGUAAUACGUAGGGCGCGAGCGUUGUCCGGAAUUAUUGGGCGUAAAGAGCUCGUAGGCGGCUUGUCGCGUCGGAUGUGAAAGCCCGGGGCUUAACCCCGGGUCUGCAUUCGAUACGGGCAGGCUAGAGUGUGGUAGGGGAGAUCGGAAUUCCUGGUGUAGCGGUGAAAUGCGCAGAUAUCAGGAGGAACACCGGUGGCGAAGGCGGAUCUCUGGGCCAUUACUGACG